ACUCCUCAGUCUAUAUGUUAUUUAUGUAAGCCUUUCUCUAGAUUAUGUCCUUCUCACUUGGCAUACUGGUUUCUUAUACUCUCAUGGCCUCAACUACCAUUUGGAUACUGAUUAUUCCCAAAUCUAUCACCAUAUUUCAGAUCACUCCUCUCAUUUCCAGAUCUCUACUAUCUUUCUAUCCAAUAGACAUAUAGGUUAGAAUAUUCAUGAAUACUUCAAAAUUAACAUGUCAAAUAUCUAAACCCAUGGUGCAUGCACUCAACCUUAAUCUAUUACUCCAUCUGUCUUAUUCUAUCACAGCAAUGGUAGAUGAAUAUGUAGUUACCAAAAGUAAAAACUGAAAGAAGUUUUUGAACCUUAUCCCUUUCUCUUCCUACUUAAAAGUUGUCACCACUUACUAUCAAUUCUACUUCCAAGAUCUUUCUCAAAAUCUACCCUUUCUUUGCCAUCCCAAUGGACAGUUCCUUAUAUCAGGCUGUCAUCACCUAUCAUAAAGAAUUCUAAAUUAUACCUAACCACUAUGCUUGCAUCUCAUCAUAUUUUUAUUAUCUCUUCAUAAGUCUGCCUUCCCAACUAGACUUGAGCAUAUUUACACUUUAGAACCUGGCACAGUAGGUACUCAAACCAGGUUAGCUUAAUUGAAUGGAUGAAUAGAAGAAUGCAUGAAUGAAGCUCACUUUGUGUUUUUCUCAAAUUUUACACACACACACACACACACACACACGUAUAUGAUUUGUUAAUAUGUAUGCAAUAUGUUAUGCUGUUAACAAACUGUAAGCAAGGACAACAUCUUAAAAAUUUUUAUCCUUAACACAGAAUGACCUCAAUAAUUUCUCAAGGACUGAUGAAUAAUCUCAGUAUUCAAAGCAUCUUUUAAAGAGACUCACAUCACCCUUUUAAAAAAAACUUUCCCUCUCUCUCUCUCUCUCCUUUGUGUGUGUGUAUGUGUGUGAGUGUGUGUGUGUAUAAAUAGCCAAAGUGUAUUGGUUUCUUCACUUUGGCUAUUUGUCUACUUUGAGGGAAUGGAAUCAGCCUGUUUGAAAAAAAGAAAAUUACUAGUCAGUUCCAUCAAAGAGUCUGAGGAGUUUUUGUUUGUUUUGUAAUGUUUUAACAAAAUAUCCUGAUUUGAUCAAAUCAACCAGUUACAUCAGUACUGUGUAGAGAGAGUAAAAUAGAAUUUUGCUAGAUUUCUAUUUCUUUAAAAAUUUUUCCCAAUAUUUCCAAAGUCUGCCUUGCAUGUAAUCAGUGGGAUAUGAAGAAUUUUUCAAUAAAAACCAUUCAAGUCUUAAUUACUGAAUUUUAUGAUAACUUAAAGAAUUGUUCAUUUAACUCCCCUUUUGCACUGUCUACGCAGAAAAGGUUUGGAAAAUGGUAAUGAAAACUGUUGAAGGAUAGUGAACUGCUUGUAGAAAUGAAUGCUUCUAAGGACAUUAGCAAAAUCAUCUUGAAUACAGACAAUGAGUCAGUUACAAAUUACCCCUAUCUAUUAAUUAAAAUCAAGCUCAUUAAGUGUUCUACUAGACUAUGCUUUAUGGAGUAUUAUUUAAAUUAGUUUAGAGCAAUAACAUUUAUAUAAAUAAAAUAAAUUCUAAAUACUAAAGACAUUUGAGCAAUUCAGACUGGCCAUCUCUCUAAUGAGUCUGACUUAACAAUGCUUUACAGUGUCUGAAGGAAGGUAAUUUUGAGGAAAUAGUGUUCCUUAUUGAUUUUGUACACUACAAGUUUUUAUCUUCAGAACACUUGAGUCCUAUCUAUAUAGAUAUGUGUAUACACUUACUUUUGUUGAAAUACUCAGACAUUUGUACUUAAUCUAUUUCCAAUUUAGUCUCCAUCAUUUAUACCAGAGGGACAAAUCUUUGACUGCUAUUCCUUUUGUUCAUGGGAUUCUUUUUAUUAGUGUGUAGUAAUUGAUUUACAUGAAAGUUCCCAUUUUCUUCAGCUCAUUUGCAAAUAUAUCUCUCUUAGGUUGUUUUCUUGUUUUUUGGUUUUUGGUUUUUAGGGCCACACCUGCAGCAUAUGGAAGUUCCCAGGCUAGGAGUCAAAUUGAAGCUGCAGCUGCUGGUCUACACCACAGCCACAGCAAUGCCAGAUCUGAAUUGCAUCUGCAACCUACACUACAGCUCACAGCAACACCGGAUCUGAGCUGCAUAUGCAACCUACACUGUAGCUGGUGUUAAUGCCAGAUCCUUAACCCACUGAUCGAGGCCAGGGAUGGAGCCUGCAUCCUCACAGAGACAAUGCCAGGUCCUUAACCUGCUGAGCUACAUCAGGAACUCCUCCUCUCUCAUAGUUAGACAAAAGAGACAGACUGUGCCCUGGGCAGUUAACGUAUUCAGUUAUUCUAAAAUGAGGUGAAACUCUUGCAUUGGAGGGAACUCUUUCUCUAGUUCGAGUUCCAUUUUAGAAGGGUCAGUUCUGUCUGCAUUUGCACAUGGAUUCACAGGAAAAUCAUUACUGGACACCAACCAGAUGAAGUUGUUUUGCAUAUUGCCUGUAAGUCACAUCAGCACAUUCUGUGGACAGUAGAAGACUUUCUGCCAGUGUUUGCUUAUCCAAUUUGAUCUUGGGAGAUUUCUGGCACAUUGAAAGUGACAUUUAUUUAAGUGUUCGAUUUAUAUUAUAUUUUUCUGACCAAAAGCUCAAGGCACCAAGUUCAGUGGCGUGAUGCCCACUCUACAACUGGUCUCAGGAUAAUCACAAUGACACGUUCCACAGAGCUAUCAAAUUGGAAUUCCUGACUUUGCAGCUAAGGGUGCUAACCCUGGAAAGUCUAUGAAUUUUAAAGGGGCUCAGUUCCAAAAUUUAAUCAACAUAAUACAACUUGACAAAACAGAAGCAUUGAAAGGCUAGAACUCUGUGCUUUGUUGCCGCCUGGCUUAGCUUCUUGGUUGUGCAUUUUGCUCAGAUAAGCAUGUCUAGAAAGAGCUUACUCUUGAAAGGAAAGCAAUCUUGCGUGGACUCUGGCAAAAACAAGCCAAGGUAAAAUGAAUUAUAUGCUACGGCAUAUAAGCUUACACUAAGUCACGUAAAUUAUAAGGUGAUACACGAAGAGGCAGUGAGGAACCUAUAAUAAAAUCUUGGGGACAAUAAGGCAGUCAAGAUAGAAAGAGAAAGAAUAACAUAGUGAAGUCUCUGUUUACACAUUAAUAAAUGUGCUGAAGAAUUUUCAGCUACUGGACAGUCAGGAAGUCACAGGCUGUAUAGCAUGUGGUCUAAAUUGCCAUGAUUUGGGCAGACAAAGUACUCCACAAAAUAAGAAACUUAAAUCAACCAACAUAACUGUAGUUUAAAAAUAAUAAUAAAAUAAACCUGUGUGACAGAUGUUAAAAGAACACUUAUCCAAAACGCAUACUGGUUUAGGAAGGAUAAAAUUACGGAGGAAAUUUCAGGAAAAAAUAUGCAUUUCUGGAAAGUUUCUAGAAUAUCAACUGAUUCAAAAAUCACAUAGCUCUUAAAACCCAAAACUUCAAAGACAAAACGAUAAAAAUACAUCCACCAGGACCGUUCUGAAAUAGGGGGAAAGAUGUGGCAUUAUCACCAGUGGACUUUGUUUCAUCUAUUAUUUUCUCCAGGGUUCAACUCAGUUUACGAAAACACAGAUAUAUGUUACACACUUGGAAAAUCCUAUUGCUGUAAGUAUUUCUAUUACCCAGAUGUCAUACUUUCUAAUUAGUCUACUUAAAAAUAUCCGUGGGACAAUAACAAGAAAUAAGUUUAGUAGGGAGUUAUACUGAGGUGUAUUCAAAUAAUGGCAUUUGACAUCAGCCAGGUUACGUAAUCUCCCUGAAAAUAGUUUGCUCAUCAGUAGAGUAGAGGUAAUAGCACCUACAUCAACAGGUUAGUGUGAGAAUUAGGUGAGAUAAUCCCCAUAAAGAGUGUAGCAGUUUCUGGCACUCCCCAGAUUCUUUACACGGUUUCAUUUUAAUAAGAUAGGUACCUCAAAGGAAUUCUGGGCUUAAGUGUUUCUCCAGCUACAUAACUGCAUUUUUCAUUCCUACAGUGAAUGCCUGUGAGACAGAGUUCAGCACCUUUGACACAUCACACGUGGCCUUUGACAACAGUAUGUCCAUUUUGUUAAGAGUGCAGGCCCUGGCAUCAGAUCACCAGGUUUCAAGCCUAUGACUUACUAGCUGUGUGACCUGUACAAAGUGGUCUUGCUUAGCCUCACCUUCUUCAUUUGCAGUAUUAGGUUAAUAACAGCCCCUCCAUCACUGGGCUGUUAAGAGGAUUAAAUGAAAUUCUGUGUGUAAAGCACCUAACACACUUUCAGCCACGUAGCACUCAGUCUGUGGCAGGUAUGUAGUGAUUACUAUUAUUACUAAUUAUAUUAUGACUUGACGCUUAUCAUGUGCAGUGCUAUACUAGGUGGGUAUAUAAAAGGAGUGAGAGCUGCUUUUUUUUUUUUUUUUUGGCUACAGACAUCUGCACUGGGCACUGGUUUAGGUACUGGGGAUUUGGUGGAAGGCAAAACAGACAAAACUCCUACCUUAAAAAAAGCUUGUGUUGGAGUUCUUUUGUAGUGCAACAGGUUAAGGAUCUGGCAGCAGCUGGGAUUGCUGCUGUAUUGUUGGUUUGAUCCCUGGCCCGGGAACUUCUGCAUGCCACUGGCUUGACCAAUGACAUUUAAAAUGCAGUGCAGUGAGUGCAAUGACAAGUCAGAACAUGAGGAGGAGGAAAAUGAAGAGAAGGGCACUGAACCCAGUAUUGUGGGAGGAAAGUGAAGGAAAGGUUCCUGGUGGUGGCCAUGUCUAUGCUGAGCUUUGCAGGAUUUAUUGAUUUAACAAAUUCUUACAUAAUGCCAGCUACAUGCCAGGGAACUGUUCUAAACCCUUUACAGAUGAGCUAUUGGUCUUUUAAUUUCAUUGAGGUAAAUGACUUGUAAUAAGUGGGGAGAGUGAAGCACAGAUGGCUUAAGCAACUUGUCCAAAGUCACAUAGCCAGAAAGUGGUUCUAUAGCCCUGGCUCUUAAUGGCAACGUUCUAUGCUGCUUCUUCCUCUGGUAUGUUGGGGUGAACUGGGGGCCAAGGAAUAGAAUUCAGGAGAUGCAGUCAGUGGUCCUUGAAAGCUUGCAGACUCUUGACCUUAGCAAAGCAAUGAAAAAGAUCUGAAGGAAGAUCAGAAAAGAAAAUGGAGGAGUUCCCAUCGUGGCGCAGUGGUUAAUGAAUCCGACUAGGAACCAUGAGGUUGCGGGUUCGAUCCCUGCCCUUGCUCAGUGGGUUAGCGAUCCGGCGUUGCCGUGAGCUGUGGUGUAGGUUGCAGACGCGGCUCGGAUCCCGCGUUGCUGUGGCUCUGGUGUAGGCUGGUGGCUACAGCUCCGAUUGGACCCCUAGCCUGGGAAUCUCCAUAUGCCGCGGGAGCGGCCCAAGACCAAGAAAUAGCAAAAA
rnacentral:lncRNA from 1 species